rnacentral:rRNA from 2 species
UAUGGCUCAGGAUGAACGCUAGCUACAGGCUUAACACAUGCAAGUCGAGGGGAAACGAUAAAGAAAGCUUGCUUUUUCUAGGCGUCGACCGGCGCACGGGUGAGUAACGCGUAUCCAACCUGCCCAUCUCUUGGGGAUAACCUUGCGAAAGUAAGACUAAUACCCAAUGAUAUCUCUAGAAGACAUCUAGAAGGAGAUUAAAGAUUUAUCGGUGAUGGAUGGGGAUGCGUCUGAUUAGCUUGUUGGCGGGGUAACGGCCCACCAAGGCGACGAUCAGUAGGGGUUCUGAGAGGAAGGUCCCCCACAUUGGAACUGAGACACGGUCCAAACUCCUACGGGAGGCAGCAGUGAGGAAUAUUGGUCAAUGGGCGAGAGCCUGAACCAGCCAAGUAGCGUGCAGGAUGACGGCCCUAUGGGUCGUAAACUGCUUUUAUAAGGGAAUAAAGUGGGAGUCGUGACUCUUUUUGCAUGUACCUUAUGAAUAAGGACCGGCUAAUUCCGUGCCAGCAGCCGCGGUAAUACGGAAGGUCCGGGCGUUAUCCGGAUUUAUUGGGUUUAAAGGGAGCGUAGGCCGGAGAUUAAGCGUGUUGUGAAAUGUAGAUGCUCAACAUCUGCACUGCAGCGCGAACUGGUUUCCUUGAGUACGCACAAAGUGGGCGGAAUUCGUGGUGUAGCGGUGAAAUGCUUAGAUAUCACGAAGAACUCCGAUUGCGAAGGCAGCUCACUGGAGCGCAACUGACGCUGAAGCUCGAAAGUGCGGGUAUCGAACAGGAUUAGAUACCCUGGUAGUCCGCACGGUAAACGAUGGAUGCCCGCUGUUGGUCUGAAUAGGUCAGCGGCCAAGCGAAAGCAUUAAGCGUCCCACCUGGGGAGUACGCCGGCAACGGUGCAACUCAAAUGAAUUGACGGA